AAUUUUGGCCUUAGACAUCACGACAAUUACAUCGGUGAGGAAUUCACGCGAUGUAAAAAAAUAUCAUUAACAUCGAUUCCUCAAAUACCGAUUUCUAUGCAUAUUACUGACAUCGAUUUUUACUGUUGACCGAUGUCUACAAUUUAAUUUUAAAAGUUAAAAAAACGCGGAAACGACUAAGUUUAAAAUUUCGGCACGCGCGGACCAAAAUUUUUGUUCCCCACACACACUUAGUCAUUUUUCCCACUCUCUCUAGCAGCCCAUUUUCAUCCUCACUCACCAUCUCUAACAAAACUGGCGACCCGGCCAUCUCUCUAGCUCUUCCCUGAAACCCUAGCCCUCUCCUCCUACCUCUCCCGCUCUCUUUUCACGGCCACCACUACCUCCCUCUCCUCCGCUCAUUCCCGUUACUAUCUCUCCGGCGCCAUGCCUCUGCUGCCAAGCUCUCUCUCUCUCUCUUUGUCUCACACACACACACACUUUCUCUCUCUAAAACCCUCUCAGUCUCUCUCUGGAAUUGACAAAGAUGAAGUCUAUGCAGCCUCCAAGGAGAAAAGCGCCUCCGCCUUCAGAUCUAACUAUACGGCCUUGGAUUCAAAGCCUUCGCCGGCGGAUAAGUUGAAGAGUCCGUUGCCGCCAAGGCCGCCACCGUCAAAUCCUCUCAAACGUAAGCUGGGACCCUAAGAACUCCGUCCAUGAAGCCUCUGGAUCUCUUCGUCGAGGUCGCAAUUGAAGAGGUUGAGGAUGAAGAAGGGAUCCACAGCUCAGUGUGUUUGCUUGGUUGAUGAAUCUGGUAAUUGGACAAUGCGUCCAUGUCUCUCUAGUGCUGUGAAGCUUCACCCAAAGGUACAUGCUUCUAUUUGUGUCAAUAUGUGUGGUGAGUUAUCGCUUUUUCUUUGAAUAGUUAGCUAUCAUUUUAUUUGAAUACUUUUUUUGAAUGGGCUCGCGCUCGUCGUCGGCUUCGUCGGGCCACUCCAAGGCCAGGUCACAGUUGGCUCAAUAUUUCUCACUUGACGAAGAUCUGGCCGUAUGUAAAUGAGGAGGAGAUACAUGAACUGUGUAACACCCCGAACCCGGAUUAAACGAAAGGGUGAAUUAAAAACAAAUAGAACUCAGUCCAACUCAAAUCCUCCGAAGAGCUUCUUCUUAGGUGUCAGAUUGUUGUUACAUGUUCUUUUGUUUUGGUUUCUAAUGCAUGGACUAGUCUUUGGAUGCUCUGUAGAGGUAGACAGGGAACAUUUUGUGAGCACAAUUAGUUGAAGUUAACUUAUAGUUUUCAUUGCAAUUACAUUAUAACAUAAUACUUUUGACAGUUUUACUUGUUUUUGGUAAGGUACAAAUUGGGUUGAUCUUUUAACUGGUUUUCUGAUUUUCUUGGGCUUAUUAAGAAUAAAAUUUGUGCUGAGAUAUGGGUAAAUUUUUUCUGAAAAGUUUAUAAGGCACAAGCCCAAAUACAAACAUGUUACAGUUUGAGAACUUCUCCGUGUACUGUGAUUUAGUCAUUACCUGAUGAGUUGAAAGGGUACAAGUUCAGUUCAGUUCUUUUAUCCAGGGGUUUGAGGUUCUGUCCAUGUUUAUUGUAUGAACUUCCUACGUUACAUGUUACUGCUCCUGCAUCCCAUACUUCUUUAAUUAUUCUGUUCUAAUCAUUUCGAUUUGCUUACUGGAAAGUUAGGUAAAUUGGUUGCUUCGGGCUACUAAUAUUAUUAUAGAGAAGUUGUGCAGAAAUAACAGAUUCAGAAGGAGUUAAAUUCGCCUCCAUACUUGAUUUUGAGGAGAUUACAUAUUUUUUUAUUCCUCAUUUGUAUUCAUUUAUUUGUACAAAUGUAUUCUUUUCUUUGUGCAUUUGUGUAUGUAAUUAUAUACACACACACAUCCCGUUAACGAAGCCAGGGAAGGACUGAUCAGUCUCUGCUGCAAGUAUCUUAUCAGGUAAAUUACUACUUUUUCUUGUAGUGGUUUCUCUUGAACUUGUCAAGUGCUAUUGCUACUAAUACUAUAUUUCCAGGUGAAUUUGAUGCUUCACAGUUGUGAUGUGUAUUUCGUUUACAGUUAUAAGUGAUCUCUUGUAAUUCUGGAAGAAAACUACAUAUUUGCUAUAUACAAGUUGUCAU